rnacentral:rRNA from 1 species
CCUACGGGAGGCAGCAGUGAGGAAUAUUGGUCAAUGGGCGCGAGCCUGAACCAGCCAAGUAGCGUGAAGGAUGACUGCCCUACGGGUUGUAAACUUCUUUUAUAAAGGAAUAAAGUGAGGCACGUGUGCCUUUUUGUAUGUACUUUAUGAAUAAGGAUCGGCUAACUCCGUGCCAGCAGCCGCGGUAAUACGGAGGAUCCGAGCGUUAUCCGGAUUUAUUGGGUUUAAAGGGAGCGUAGAUGGGUUGUUAAGUCAGUUGUGAAAGUUUGCGGCUCAAACGUAAAAUUGCAGUUGAUACUGGCAUUCUUGAGUACAGUAGAGGUAGGGGGAAUUCGUGGUGGAGCGGUGA